rnacentral:rRNA from 1 species
GUCUUUUUGUUUAUAUAUUUAAAGUCUAACCUGCCCAAUGAAAUUUUAAAUGGCCGCAGUAUUUUGACUGUGCAAAGGUAGCAUAAUCAUUAGUUUUUUAAUUAAAAGCUAGUAUGAAAGGUUGGACGAGGUAAAAUCUGUCUUUAUUUAAAUUGAAUUAGAAUUUAAUUUUUAAGUUAAAAAGCUUAAAUUUUAUUAAAAGACGAGAAGACCCUAUAGAUCUUUAUAAUUAAAUAUAUAAAUUCAAUUUAGUUAAAUUUUAUUUUUUAUUUUUUUUAAUUAUUUUAUUGGGGUAAUAGAAAGAUUUAAAUAAUUCUUUAUAAUUUUUACAUAUAUUUAUGAAUAUAUGAUCCAAUUUUAUUGAUUAAAAGACUAAGUUACCUUAGGGAUAACAGCGUAAUUUUUUUUGAGAGUUCAUAUCGAUAAAAAAGCUUGCGACCUCGAUGUUGGAUUAAAAAUUAUUUUAGGUGUAGAAGCUUAAAAUUUUGGUCUGUUCGACCAUUAAAUUUUU